rnacentral:rRNA from 1 species
GCACGGAGUUAGCCGGGGCUUCUUCUACGGGUACCGUCAACCUUGCGGUUUCGUCCCCGUCGAAAGGAUUUUACGUCCCAAGAGACUUCAUCAUCCACGCGGCAUUGCUUCGUCAGGGUUGCCCCCAUUGCGAAAAAUUCCCCACUGCUGCCUCCCGUAGGAGUCUGGACCGUGUCUCAGUUCCAGUGUGGCCGACCGUCCUCUCAGACCGGCUACUGAUCGUUGCCUUGGUGAGCCAUUACCUCACCAACUAGCUAAUCAGCCGCGGACCCCUCUCAUAGCGAAUUGCUCCUUUCCUGACGAAAUCCGCAGACUUCGUCAGAAUAUGCGGUAUUAGCACCGGUUUCCCGGUGUUAUUCCCCACUUUGAGGCAGGUUAUCCACGUGUUACUCACCCGUGCGCCGCUUUACUCAUGUAUUGCUACACUUUCUCGCUCGACUUGCAUGUGUUAGGCAUGCCGCCAGCGUUGAUU